GUAGUCAUUAACCCGUGUUGUCUUCCCAGCUUCCUCCUAUUUGUCUGUGGUGUCUCACUUUGAGCAAGUGGCCCCGGAGCUUGAGCAAUCAAAGGACCGUGAUGUCGAAGACCGCACUGGCUGACUCAACGCUGUCUGGGUCAGCGUCCUUAUUUAGUCCCUUCCUCUUCUUGGUUUCGGAUCCCAGCCCGCGUGUGUGUCCUUUGCACAAGGAACAGGUGGCCUUCCACGAUUCCACAGGAUGGCAGUCCACAGUGUUUGCUGUGAUUGGUCUCAUGACGCACAGUCCAUUUUUUAUGGCCCCAGAGAUCAGCGGGCACUUGAGUUUUGUAGACAGAAGUGAAAGGUCUCUGCCAAGAGUUGCCCACGCUCCUGGCGUUUCCUUCAGCCUGGUUGCCUUUUUAUUUGUGUCCCUAACAGAUGUCCUGGAUUUAAAGAACUUGUUCAUUUUUCAGGGUUCACGGAAUCAGACAAGGGAAAUGGGAUCCCCUUAAUGGCUCGUCAUCAUCACCUUCAUCCGGUUUAGUCAAACAUCUGUUCUCCUCAGGGCCCACCCCUCAAGGGUGUGGAGGGGGAAUCAUAUUUUUCUACCAUAUCCAUAUUUAUAUACGGAUGUUACAAAAUUGAUAUUAUACAGUAUAUGCUCUCCUAUAUCUGACAUUAUUUACUUAAACAUAUUUCAUAACUAUUUCCCCCAAGUCAAUAAAUAUUUCCCUGAAGCAUAAUUUUUCAAGGCUGUGUACUAUUCCUUUUCAGGAUGUGACAUAAUUUAACUAAUCUCAUAUUGUUAGAAAUUCUAUUUGCUUCCAAUUUGUCUUUGCUAUAGAACAAUGUUUAAAAAUAUUUUUGUGUGUGGAUUUUUGUACUGAGCCAUUCUUAUUAUAAAUUUACCUAAGUAUGGGAUUACUGAGUAAAGGGAACAAACUUUUUAAAGAUUCUGCUACCUUGUGAAGCGGUGGGAUUGUGCCGGUUUUCACUGUCUCCAUCAGGUGUACUCCCUUUCCCAUCGUUUGCCAUUUCUGUGAUGACCUCGUGUCCUAGCACAUGGGUUGGGCUCCCUUAGGAGCAGGGAACACUCUGUCUGUGUUCAUCUUCCCCCAUCGGCUUGCUCUGCUGGACCUCUACCUCUGUAACUUCCUCCAACCAAGCAUCUGUGGAGUCAUAAUGACUGUGCAUCUCUCAUUUCACUUAUUAAAUAUCCGUAUCGAAAGUUAGAUGACCCACAUGUGUCAGAUUUGGCAUUUACCGUUCUUUGUGAAGCCCAGUAACAUGCUAGGAAGAUUCUGUGGUGGCUCACAGAUAAGAUUUCUCCUCC
rnacentral:lncRNA from 1 species